UCUUAGGAAGGAGCAAAGAAAGUAUUUUCUUGAGAUGGAAACUACCCCUGGUGAAGAUGCUGUGAA
rnacentral:pre_miRNA from 1 species